UUUCUAUUAGGAUAGCUGGAGUACGUAAUGAAGCUGUUAUAUUCGGUAAAGCGACUGACUGGAGGAGUUGAGGGACGAAACGUUUUCAAUCUGUUCUCAAAUUUUCAAUGAGUAUGACGUCUUGUUUGUUUGAAUGAAGCAUAGACAUUGAAUGUGUGUUCCACGUAGACCAUUUUUGAUAAACAGAAGUGGCACGCUAUGGGAUAAACAG
rnacentral:ncRNA from 1 species